AAUGUUCUGUCAGGCUGGGGCAGAUAAGAGAGUUACUGAUAUCACACAAGACCUCUGCAAAUGUUUUACCGUCACUGCUCGACAGGAAAAUGCUUCUCAAUAACCUCAAAAUGCUCAAAAUGUGUGGUUUGUGGUGCUUGCUGGGAAAGGACGGGUCAUGACUGGAUAAAAUCCCGACUUUGCAUUUUGGAAAGGCUGAUAUCACCGUGGCCACUGGUCCAAAACAGUCAGACCACAAAUCUACUUUCUGGAUGCAUUUUGGUGCACGACUCCUCUAACAGACUUCUAUUUUAACAUGUGCAGAUGUGACUAGACUCUGUGUGUAACAGAUAUUAAAAGUGCUUUUCAGGCUCUGAAUUUCAUGUGGGUACCUCCUGUAUUCACAAAAUUACGAGGACUCAAAUAUGCUGGAAAAAAAUAAUGCAAAUUAAACACUGACUAAUCUUGCA